GUGGCUGACGAGUGGCGCACGGGUGCGUAACGCGUAUGCAAUCUACCUUUUACAGUGGGAUAGCCCAGAGAAAUUUGGAUUAAUACCGCAUAGUAUAUAGAAUUGGCAUCGAUUUUAUAUUAAACAUUUAUGGGUAAAAGAUGAGCAUGCGUUCUAUUAGCUAGAUGGAGUGGUAACGGCACCCCACGGCGACGAUAGAUAGGGGCCCUGAGAGGGGGAUCCCCCACACUGGUACUGAGACACGGACCAGACUCCUACGGGAGGCAGCAGUGAGGAAUAUUGGACAAUGGGCGCAAGCCUGAUCCAGCCAUGCCGCGUGCAGGAAGACUGCCCUAUGGGUUGUAAACUGCUUUUAUACGGGAAGAAACACCCCCUCGUGAGGGGGCUUGACGGUACCGUAAGAAUAAGGAUCGGCUAACUCCGUGCCAGCAGCCGCGGUAAUACGGAGGAUCCAAGCGUUAUCCGGAAUCAUUGGGUUUAAAGGGUCCGUAGGUGGAUAAUUAAGUCAGAGGUGAAAUCCUACAGCUCAACUGUAGAAUUGCCUUUGAUACGGGUUAUCUUGAAUUAUUAUGAAGUAGUUAGAAUAUGUAGUGUAGCGGUGAAAUGCAUAGAUAUUACAUAGAAUACCAAUUGCGAAGGCAGAUUACUAAUAAUAUAUUGACACUGAUGGACGAAAGCGUGGGGAGCGAACAGGAUUAGAUACCCUGGUAGUCCACGCCGUAAACGAUGGAUACUAGCUGUUCGGAGCAAUCUGAGUGGCUAAGCGAAAGUGAUAAGUAU
rnacentral:rRNA from 1 species